rnacentral:rRNA from 1 species
AGACGUCUACAUUAGACUACCCCCGUAGUCCCAGCCGUAAACUAUGCGCGUUAGGUGUAUCGGUGACCACGAGUUACCGAGGUGCCGAAGGGAAACCGUGAAACGUGCCGCCGUGGGAAGUACGGUCGCAAGGCUAGAAACUUAAAGGAAUUGGCGGGGAGCACCACAACAGGUGGAGCCUGCGGUUUAAUUGGACUCAACGCCGGGAAGCUCACCGGAUAGGACAGCAGAAUGAUUGCCGGGCUGAAGACCCUGCAUGACUAGCUG